AUCACUUCUUGUCCUUUUGGCUAAGGUGAAGUGUGAUAUCUGUUCUUAUCAGUUUAAUAUCACAUACAUCCUCUAUCUGAGGACAAUAUAGUAAAAAUGGACUUUUGGAGCAGGGAGAUGGAAUGAGAGCUUGCACUGUCCACUCCAUGCAGCAAUCUGAUAUUGUGGCACCUCCAGCAAUGGUGUACCCCAC
rnacentral:snRNA from 1 species